rnacentral:tRNA from 1 species
UUUUAUCUAGUUUAAAUAAAAUAAUUACUUGUCAAGUAAUUGACGCAAAUUAACAGGCGA